rnacentral:rRNA from 1 species
UACGGAGGAUCCAAGCGUUAUCCGGAAUCAUUGGGUUUAAAGGGUCCGUAGGCGGUUUGGUAAGUCAGUGGUGAAAGCCCAUCGCUCAACGGUGGAACGGCCAUUGAUACUGCCAGACUUUGAAUUAUUAGGAAGUAACUAGAAUAUGUAGUGUAGCGGUGAAAUGCUUAGAGAUUACAUGGAAUACCAAUUGCGAAGGCAGGUUACUACUAAUGGAUUGACGCUGAUGGACGAAAAGCGUGGGUAGCGAACAGG